rnacentral:tRNA from 1 species
GCCCUAGUAGCUUAACUCAAAGCAUCGGUCUUGUAAUCCGAAGACUGGAGGUUAGACCCCUCCCUAGUGCC